UUAUGGCCAUUUCGAAGCUGUGAUAUGAAAUUUUAUUAAUAUAUUGCAGUCAAAAUAUGGCCUAAAGUAAUUUCUGUAAUGGUCACUGGUUGAAUAAAAUAUAAUCAAUCAGUAUUACCCAAGCAGAAAACAAUU
rfam:Agrilus planipennis Contig62195, whole genome shotgun sequence.